rnacentral:rRNA from 1 species
GUCUACGGCCAUGCUACCCUCAACAAGCCGUGGGGUGGAGCCUGGUUAGUACUUGGAUGGGAAACCACCCAGGAAAACCAGGUGCUGUAGGUG